rfam:Rhodospirillales bacterium SCN 65-16 ABS83_C0080, whole genome shotgun sequence.
AGAAACGCCCGUGGUGAUUUGAGCCGACCGGCUUGCGACCACGUUAAACAUCGCUAAAAGGUCGGAGUGCUCGCAAA